CCUACGGGAGGCAGCAGUGGGGAAUAUUGGACAAUGGGGGCAACCCUGAUCCAGCCAUGCCGCGUGUGUGAAGAAGGCCCUCGGGUUGUAAAGCACUUUCAGUGAGGAAGAACGCCUGGUGGUUAAUACCCAUCAGGAAAGACAUCACUCACAGAAGAAGCACCGGCUAACUCCGUGCCAGCAGCCGCGGUAAUACGGAGGGUGCGAGCGUUAAUCGGAAUUACUGGGCGUAAAGCGCGCGUAGGUGGCUUGAUAAGCCGGUUGUGAAAGCCCCGGGCUCAACCUGGGAACGGCAUCCGGAACUGUCAAGCUAGAGUGCAGGAGAGGAAGGUAGAAUUCCCGGUGUAGCGGUGAAAUGCGUAGAGAUCGGGAGGAAUACCAGUGGCGAAGGCGGCCUUCUGGACUGACACUGACACUGAGGUGCGAAAGCGUGGGUAGCAAACAGGAUUAGAUUACCCUUGUAGUC
rnacentral:rRNA from 1 species